UUUCCGUAGGUGAACCUGCGGAAGGAUCAUUAUUGGAUUUUGAAACUUCAGGCUGCUGCUGGCUCUCCUCGGAGGGCAUGUGCACGCUUGUUGUCCAUUAUUUCUCCCACUGUGCACAAAUUGUAGACCUUUCAGUAGGCCUAUGUUGUUUUUCACAAUCUCUGAAUGUAAUAGAAUGGUUUUGAAUCUUGGGAAAUACAAUACAACUUUCAGCAACGGAUCUCUUGGCUCUCGCAUCGAUGAAGAAGGCAGC
rnacentral:misc_RNA from 1 species